AAAAUGUGGAUGUGAUUUUGGAGCUGGGUAACAGGGAGAGUUUGGAACAGUUUCGAGGGCUCAGAAGGAGACAGAAAAAUGAAUGAAAGUUUUGAAAG